rnacentral:rRNA from 1 species
UACGUAGGGGGCGAGCGUUGUCCGGAUUUAUUGGGCGUAAAGGGCUCGUAGGCGGCCAACUAAGUCGGAUGUGAAAUCCCCAGGCUUAACCUGGGAACUGCAUCCGAUACUGGAUGGCUUGAAUCCGGGAGAGGGAUGCAGAAUUCCAGGUGUAGCGGUGAAAUGCGUAGAUAUCUGGAGGAAUACCGGUGGCGAAGGCGGCAUCCUGGACCGGCAUUGACGCUGAUGAGCGAAAGCCAGGGGAGCAAACGGG